CCUACGGGGGGCAGCAGUGAGGAAUAUUGGUCAAUGGGCGUAAGCCUGAACCAGCCAAGUCGCGUGAGGGAUGAAGGUUCUAUGGAUCGUAAACCUCUUUUAUAAGGGAAUAAAGUGCGGGACGUGUCCCGUUUUGUAUGUACCUUAUGAAUAAGGAUCGGCUAACUCCGUGCCAGCAGCCGCGGUAAUACGGAGGAUCCGAGCGUUAUCCGGAUUUAUUGGGUUUAAAGGGUGCGUAGGCGGCCUUUUAAGUCAGCGGUGAAAGUCUGUGGCUCAACCAUAGAAUUGCAGUUGAAACUGGGAGGCUUGAGUAUGUUUGAGGCAGGCGGAAUGCGUGGUGUAGCGGUGAAAUGCUUAGAUAUCACGCAGAACCCCGAUUGCGAAGGCAGCUUGCCAAGCCAUGACUGACGCUGAUGCACGAAAGCGUGGGGAUCAAACAGGAUUAGAUACCCGAGUAGUC
rnacentral:rRNA from 1 species